rnacentral:ncRNA from 1 species
UCAAGGGGUGCUCAUCAAUUGAUGGGCUGAGAUUAAACCCUCCAACCUGAUCCGGAUAAUGCCGGCGUAGGCAAUGUACUUU